rfam:Triticum aestivum genome assembly, contig: Triticum_aestivum_CS42_TGACv1_scaffold_033032_1BL
UUUUUACUCCCUCCGUCCGGAAAUACUUGUCAUCAAAAUGGAUAAAAGGGGAUGUAUCUAGACGUAUUUUAGUUCUAGAUACAUCAAUUUUUAUUCAUUUUGAUGACAAGUAUUUUCGGACGGAGGGAGUAUCUG